CCAUUAACAGGUGAUGGAGUUCACCUUUAAUUGCCAAAGAUAUAUCUUUUAUCCUUUGGAUGAUGACUCCUACCGUAAG
rnacentral:ncRNA from 1 species